UACGUAGGGCGCAAGCGUUGUCCGGAAUUAUUGGGCGUAAAGAGCUCGUAGGCGGCUUGUCGCGUCGGGUGUGAAAGCCCGGGGCUUAACCCCGGGUCUGCAUUCGAUACGGGCAGGCUAGAGUGUGGUAGGGGAGAUCGGAAUUCCUGGUGUAGCGGUGAAAUGCGCAGAUAUCAGGAGGAACACCGGUGGCGAAGGCGGAUCUCUGGGCCAUUACUGACGCUGAGGAGCGAAAGCGUGGGGAGCGAACAGG
rnacentral:rRNA from 1 species